GUUAAAAAGCUCGUAGUCGAAUCUGUGUCGCGCGCCGCCGGUUCAUCGCUCGCGGUGUCAACUGGCGUGUCGCGGGACGUCCUGCCGGUGGACGCGGUCUCGUCUUCGCUCUCGUGGCGGGACGGGACGGUCCAACUUCAACAAUCCCACCGCGGUGCUCUUCGCUGAGUGUCGAGGUGGGCCGGCACGUUUACUUUGAACAAAUUAGAGUGCUUAAAGCAGGCCAAAAAUUCGCCUGAAUACUGUGUGCAUGGAAUAAUGGAAUAGGACCUCGGUUCUAUUUUGUUGGUUUUCGGAACC
rnacentral:rRNA from 1 species